UUUAUAUUUUAUUCCAGGAGUCAACUGAUUUACAACCGUGAUCAGUACAGUACUACAGGCAUUCGAGGACAACAUGAAAAUUGUAUGAAGAGAUCGUGAGUUCUGCACGAUAACGAGGUAUGAUGAUAAAUACCAUUUAUCGCUACUCAGUCAUGCAUUGAAUCACAUAGCCAGAAUGGCUGAAAGGGAUUUACCUGGGCUUCUUCGUCUCACCCAUUAUUGACGGAAUACCCGAAUAAUGGGCGAAACAAAGAAGCGGCGUCGCGGGUGAUCGUCAUGCAGGCAAUGAAUGACGAUAGUUUAUAGGGUUUUUAGGACUUUAUCACAUAUUUAAAUCAUGCAUAAGCCGUGAUUUUAAUCAUACUUAAAAGUAUGCUUUAAAUUUGCAUAUAUCGUAUGUAAACUCACAUGAGUUCGGCAAUUUUUUUCCCUUUCUUUAUGGGCUGAGCCAGAGGCCCGUCCGCCCGUCUUUUAGACGGUUAUUUUUCAAUGUGAACGGGGGAAAAUGUUAAAAUCUCCAGUAUUUUGUCUUUAGUAAUGGGCCUUAGAAGUGGUUACGUCAAGUAUGUAUCCCACAAUGCACUGUGCAUUCCAGAAAUGAUUGCGUGACGUAAGCACUUCUAAGGUUUAUUGGUACAACUGUACCAUAGCUUAAAUUUUGCCAUAACAUAUUCAUUGAACAGUCACUGCACAUCCUUGCACAUUACAUCCACAAGCAAACAAGUUACAAUUUCCUAUGUAUUAAUUUGCGAAAUAUUUAGUGUUUUAAGUUGAUUUUAAUUUGAAUAACUCCGGCGAUUAUGUUAGUGAGGUCAAUUGUGUUGUUUGCUCUUCAAUUUUGAGUGCAGUUUUACACGUGUUAUUUUGACUGCUAAGAAUCACGUUUAGUAGAAGAUGAAGAUCUGAUUUCAAAAUUCAAGGGCAACAUAAUGUUGUUUUUGGGGAGGGGGACAUACCUGGUCCAGCACUUUUGGACGGGUAGAUUGCUAAUCCUGGCUAUGUCCCUGCAUGCCUUCCUGAUAUCGUUGGCCAACCUGAAAUGUGAGGCCUGCUGUUCUAAAGUAGAACGGUUGAAAAAAGGAAUUGCAUCUGCGUAGUAGCCGAUAGAAUUACGAGAGUGCCAUGACGAAACGUAGACCGUUGCUGUAGUAAAUAAUAAUAGCACAGUUAUGCAAAUUAUAGCAGAGCUGUUUUGCAAAUAUAACGGCGCAGUUACAAAUUUGUAACAAAUGAAAACGGCGAUGUAACAAAUAACGAAAAGCGUUGUCAUCAAUCUCGCGUUCCCAGGCGUUCUUCUGGGAGCCAAAGAGUUCUAAAAUGCUGUAAUAAAAUAGCUAUGGUAUAACAUUAAAUACCGAAUGAAAAAUUUCACAAUGACAGCAUUAGAACCUAAAGAAAACGACUUUCUUUGAUUAGAAUCGUGCUCCAAUUCAAAUACUACUGCGCAGAAGGAAAAACUCGGAACAACGUUAAAUUCUUUGGGUCCCAUCCGUGUGGGGUUUAGUAGACAGCUGGUCUUCCCAUUGCGCACUUAGUAUCCCAUAGCCUGCCUCCUCCGCAGGCCCUGCCGUACCAUGCUUACCAUGGGAAGGUCUAGUCUUGUAAAAAAUUAUAAUGAUUAUUUUUUUAAUUAAAUAUGCAGUAAUAAAUUUUAAUAAUUAACUACGAUCGUUUCAGUCAGUCAUAAUACAACAUUCGGCAAAUACUCAUAUCUGAUUGAUGAGUUCAGGCAUUUUUUCUUAGAAAGGCGUAGCAUGCACCAUGACAAAUUUAUUACAUUUACAAGCAAAACCUGUUUUUUACGACCUUUUAUAAAAUUAAUUAGUUUAAGUUUUUUAACCGACUAAAAUUAGGUAUGACAUAUCAAGUACUUACCGUUCCCCUUAACUUGCAGAAGGUGUCCGCCUACAAGAAUGUUUAUCAGUUGAUAGUUUUGAGGAGCUUUUUUCUGUGGUUGAGUUCUGUUUAUUCUUUUUUUGCUUUUGUCCUAUACGUGUCUACUCCUAAUACUUUCGCUCAUAAAUUUUAACUGUUUGAGAAAAUCAUAUGAAACCAGUGACUUUUACUAAAACGAGGUCUCACCAAAGUAAUUUCAAAUCACUAUUAUUUUCUUAGUUCAGUUAAUUCGCCCAUAUAAUAUACUAAUUGCUUCUUUUUUUUAAUAAUUAUAAUAGUAUAGGCCCCUAGUAAUAGCUCGUUUAAUUCCGAUAAACAACUUCGAAGAUUUCCUCUUAAAACAUGAAAAAAGAGUGUAGGCAUGAAUAUGAUAGAACCUCUUUAUAUAGUACACGGUCCAAUAUAAACAACCUUUAAUGCGGAAGUUUAAUUUAAAAUCUACUGAUGUUUUUACCGUUUAACCGCCAUAAAAAGGAUCAGUACUAUAUCUUGUAAUGGCCAGACGAUCAGCAUGUGUUUUCAACAGAAUCAUUUUCAAAAGAUAACAAUUGCGCUCAGCUGACAUGUGCCUGUUUGUACACAAAAAAAUCGUGGUUCCGGUUUCACAUCCUGAAACAAUUAGAGUGGGUAGGGUCUGAAAGUUUCUUUUUCUUGACAUUGGCAUUGCCCAUCGGUCAGCAUAGACACACAAUUAUGUCAGGUCGGUUUAUAGCGCAAGAAUAAGCAUCUAUCUAGUAUUAAUUAUCUAUAUACAGAGUGAACAAAAGCGCCACUGAACUUUUCUCAAAACUUCAAGUGGUUUUCAACCAGUCAUGUCCCACUGCGGGUCAGGAUGGGGUUAUAGGAUCAGAUCCUCGCAAC